CACGGGGGGAGCAAGCGUUGUUCGGAAUCACUGGGCGUAAAGGGCGUGUAGGCGGUCAGGUAAGUGAGAUGUGAAAUGCCCCGGCUCACCCGGGGACCGGCAUCUCAUACUGCUUGGCUUGAGUACGGGAGAGGAUGUGGGAAUUCCUGGUGUAGCGGUGAAAUGCGUAGAUAUCGGGAGGAACACCUGUGGCGAAGGCGGCCACCUGGUUGGAUACUGACGCUGAGACGCGAAAGCGUGGGGAGCAAACAGG
rnacentral:rRNA from 1 species